GAAUACAAACCAACAGACUGUAGACAUCUUCUGAACUCUGUCCUAGAUCACGUGAAGGCACAGCUUCAGAGCCACCAGGAGCGUUCCGAGCGCCGCGGCGGGGGGACUGGGAGAGGGGACUGCGCCCAGGAUGAAGGCUCGGGACAAAAGCAGUUGCGCAGACGCCCCAAGGCUGGGCGUCGAGUGACCGCGGGCGGAGGUCACCAGCGGCC
rnacentral:sRNA from 1 species